AACGAACGCUGGCGGCAGGCUUAACACAUGCAAGUCGAACGCAUCCUUCGGGGUGAGUGGCAGACGGGUGAGUAACGCGUGGGAACAUGCCCUUCAGUUCGGAAUAACCCAGGGAAACUUGGGCUAAUACCGGAUAAGCGCGCGAGCAGAAAGAUUUAUCGCUGAAGGAGUGGCCCGCGUCUGAUUAGCUAGUUGGUGAGGUAAAGGCUCACCAAGGCGACGAUCAGUAGCUGGUCUGAGAGGAUGAUCAGCCACACUGGGACUGAGACACGGCCCAGACUCCUACGGGAGGCAGCGGUGGGGAAUAUUGGACAAUGGGCGCAAGCCUGAUCCAGCCAUGCCGCGUGAGUGAUGAAGGCCUUAGGGUUGUAAAGCUCUUUCGGCGGGGACGAUAAUGACGGUACCCGCAGAAGAAGCCCCGGCUAACUUCGUGCCAGCCGCCGCCGUAA
rnacentral:rRNA from 1 species